UCGUACGACCCCCUCGCUUCCGAUUUUCUUUUUUCCCGUCCCGACCCACCCCUCGUCCCACUGAUUUUUCUUUCCCCCCUCCCGGUUUUCUCCCUCACGGUUUUCUCCCUCUGGCUUGCAUCUCACGCCGGCGUCCAGCGCCACCGCUACCGACCUCCAGCCUUCGUCCCGUAAUUCCUCCCGCGCGCCCUAUCUCUCUUCUUCUCCCUUCUCCCUUCCCGACCUCUCUCUCACAAAUCUCGUCUCUGACCCAUGGAUCCCGAUGGAGCACCAUGGAUCCCGAUGUGGAGCUCCACUGCGGCCAGAUCUGACAUGGGAACGGCCAGAUCCGUGCGUCUCCGCGUCGAUCCGUGCGUCUCUGCCUCGAUCCGCGCGCCUCCAUGGUCCGCCGUCUUCUCGAGCGCCGGCGCUGCGCUCAGCCGCCGCCGUCCCAUGCCAUGGACGCCUCCCUCCAAAACGACAUGCCAUGGCCGCCUCCCUGCCUCUCCCGCAAGUGGGCCUCUGCGCGACCAGAUCCGUUCCUCUGCGCCUCGCUCCGCGCGCUUCCAUGGUCCUCCGUCUUCCCGAGCGCCGGUGCCGCGCGCAGCCGCCGCCGUCCCAUGCCAUGGCCGCCUCCUGAUGUCCAAUUCUUUUUGUUGUUGCUAUAUUCAACCUCAUCUCUGAAAUUUUACAUCUUCAUGUGUUGCUGCUAUAUGCAGGUGUAUCAAGUUUCACAAGGUCAGUGAUUAUUGAACCAUCUGGUUAGGAAGAACUUGUUCACGCUUUUCUUUGUGAACACCAAAAUUUUGUUAUUCUAGCCUAACGAGUUUGACAGGAGUCUGUACUGGAGGCAUACAGUAGGAGCGCGGUGCUGAACAGUUGAACAAAACUCAGCUUCAAUUAAUCGAAAUGCGCAUGUAGAAGCUGAUCUGCCUGAUGCUAAUACGUGAAUACAAGGAGCUCACCUCGGCUGGUGCGACGGACAUGGCGAAUGGAGUGCGAGGCAAUGGCAGUCGUGGCGCAGCAUCACCGGGAGGACGGCCUUGAGGUGCAGAGAAGAGAUAUCGGAUGAAUCAGAAACUGAAGAUGACGAUACAAUGGACACAGAAGAAGCUUCCUCUGUCCUCAUCGCUGCACUGUAGUCUUUCCAUGCUCUGGUGAAUGAUGACGGAGAAAAAGAUACCGAAACUGCUCUACAGACGACAAAACAGUAGACGAUGCCAGGACGAUUAAGAAUCCGGCGGCCAUGGCUUCCCUGUACACAUGCAUGUGUGGCUGGAUUUCAUUGUCGUGCAUCAAUCGUUCGUACUUCUGUUUUUUAGUCUAUGGAGAAUGUAUGUGUAUGCUGGUUCCAUAUACUCUAUGUCUGGUUGGCAGGAGAUCUCCUAUAUAUGCGAGGUUUUGUAUCCUUAUUUUUUUUGCGAGAGAUCCGGGAGGUUUUGUAUGUUCUCAGGGGUUGCUAUGGAUCUUGCCUUGCAUACUCAGCUAAAUGUGGGCAGUGAUGACAAUCGACGGAAUCUCUGUUAAAAAGUAUAUGUAAUGGCUAUCAGCAUUCGAUAA